UACGGAGGAUGCAAGCGUUAUCCGGAAUGAUUGGGCGUAAAGCGUCCGCAGGUGGCUGUGUAAGUCUGCUGUUAAAGAGUCUAGCUCAACCAGAUAAAAGCAGUGGAAACUACACGGCUAGAGUACGUUCGGGGCAGAGGGAAUUCCUGGUGUAGCGGUGAAAUGCGUAGAGAUCAGGAAGAACACCAGUGGCGAAGGCGCUCUGCUAGGCCGUAACUGACACUGAGGGACGAAAGCUAGGGGAGCGAAUGGG
rnacentral:rRNA from 1 species